rnacentral:lncRNA from 1 species
UUUUUGCUUUUUUCCCCCACUUUUAUUCAAAUAAAUACAAAACCUGUAUACAACUUGAUUAAUCACACCAUCUCUCUUUCUCAGACUGGUGCACUUAGAUUUUAGACAGGCACUGCUGUGGUCACAGCAUGGCUGUGCAGGAUUUAUUCUCUAAUCUGAAAUGAUCAUUUCAGAUGCACAGGCCAAGAGCCACUUGUCAAAUGAGCCAUGGUGGCACCUGUCCAUUUGAGAUCGACAAACAUAAGGAUAAAUAUCUUUUUAGGUAUAAAAUACAUAUCUUUAUAAUGUACCUUUGGAUAAAUGUAAUUGUUUUCUCCCUGUCUUUCCCAGAUCAGGCACUUGAAAAUGAAAAAUUUCAGGAAUGGGCAAACCAAUUCACUAAAAUUCACUAAAAUUUGAUUUCCUAAAAAUUCAAACAGUAUGGCAUUUGCCACUAGAGUUAGUAAGACCAAUAAUGACAGACAUUUUUGAUGUGCUAGAGUUGAUUCAGAAAUGUACAAGUUGGAGAAAUUUCAUUUCUUGUAAAUUAGUUACUCUCUCUGAAAUUCUGUCUUUAAGAUUAAGUAGUAGCUUUAGUUUGAAACUGGUUUAAUAUCACUUUUAUUGGGAAAAAAAGAGAGGCUUGGCCUCUUGUGCCCCACAUAUUCACUUAAAUAUUAUUUAAUGGCUUUGAUUACUGAUAGUUUGGUUUAUAAGGAACUAAAUAAUUUAGGCAAUUACUUCCUCUUAUCUAAAACCUGUAGGGUGAAUGCAACCUACAAUCAUAAAUGCCGGCAUUUGUGAAGUCUUUUUUUACUGGAGAAAAAUUCUGACUUCUUAUCUGUAAAGCUGGAAUACAACAUCAUCCCACUACCCUCUGUCACGUA